rnacentral:rRNA from 1 species
GACGAACGCUGGCGGCGUGCUUAACACAUGCAAGUCGAGCGGUAAGGCCCUUUCGGGGGUACACGAGCGGCGAACGGGUGAGUAACACGUGGGUGACCUGCCCUCAGCUCUGGGAUAAGCCUGGGAAACCGGGUCUAAUACCGGAUAUGACUCCAUGACGCAUGUUGUGGGGUGAAAGCCUUGUGCGGCUGAGGAUGGGCCC